CUAGUAUGGGUGACGGAGCCCGCUACGGGUCGGGGGACUACUUCCUCUCUUGGUGGAGGGUUACAAAGGGAGCGAUACGUCCCACUGCUGGGUUCCUACCUUGGGCCGCAGAGUUGGGCGCGGCGAAGGCCGCCCUGCUGCCCGGGGGCGUGGCUCCCAGUGGCUGACCACGCCUUUCCCGGAACCGCUCAGAAAAGCUUGCAGCGACCGGGAGGUUUUGACUUGGAGGUGGAGAAAUAAGUGUUAGCAGUCAUUUUUCCUGGCUCUUGCCGGUUACUGAAUACUCUCACCGAACUAGUAAUCGCAUCCUUCUCGAUUAGGAGCAGGUUUUGGCAGGGUGAAUAGAGCAUGAGGCCUCUGGAUGGACUUGGCUCCCUCUUCUCCUCCUCCUCCCAUCUGGCAGGACCAGGCCCCCAGAGGAGCCCUGGAGAGUUGGGUCAACAGUGGCAUAAUGACAGGUGGGGAAACUGAAGCCCAGAGAGAACAGCUGAGUGGCUCAAAAUCCCACCACAAGUUUCCUAGUGUAAAGCAAGGACUGCGAUUCCAGCCCGAUCGCCUGCAGCAGAUAGUCAUCACACAAGCAAAUGUUUAUUGUGCUCUUACCAAGUACCAGGUACUGCAGUAGGUGCUUUACAUGCAUUUCUAAACUAAUCAUCACAACAAGUAGAGAUCCUCCUAGGUCUUCUCAGGAUUCCCAUGUUACAGACAAAGAAACAGAAGCUCAAGAGAAAUGAAAUGGCUUGUCUGAGGUCAUGCAUUUGCUGGCCAGCAGAUCUGGGGUUCAAACCCUGGUGCCCUGACUCCCAGUCCCGUGCUUCUGCCUUUGUGCUAGAUGCCACAGGAGGGUAGCAGAGCGGAGAGCAGGCAGUCAGCAGGUGGCUGCUCUGGGAUUCAUCUCUACCUUCUCUCACCCUGCCACUGCCAUCUAUGAGUUUAGCUAAACCUGUGCUUAAAACUGUACCACCACUUGGGAUAAUGAGCCGCAUAAGUUGACUCCCCAUGGUGUAAAUUAAAGCUUCCUUUAAUCUGUUCUAAAUCUUUCUCUUUCAGUAUUGGAGGGGAUAGGGGGUGGUGGCAAAAGACCCUAGGACAAGAACAGUUGGAUUCAGAAAACAGUCUAUAGUCCAAAUAGUGUUUGCUUGUGAUGGCAAUUCCUGAGACACAAACAGCAGGUGACAUUUAUGUAAACAUCUCAUCUGAGCGUUACAGAGGCAUGAGAGUAAGCAGCGCCUGGAUUUUCGUGUCUUUUAAUCUGUAUUGUUUCCUAUAUUCCCACUUAACACAGUUUAUAGUCACAAGUAAGCUACUAGAUACUUACUCGUUAAAUGAAUGAACCCCCACUCUAUAGACAAGGAAACAGAAACGCAAUAGCAGGGAUCUAGCUAGGAAAAUAAGACUAUGCCAGACGAUUCUGGGAAGAGGGAAUCUAAUAUGGAGACUUAGUUACAAAGUUGGUGGGGAGAAAGAACAACCAGGAGAAGUUGAGGCAAAUUUGAGAUUAGUAACUCAGGAAGCCACAACCUUCCCUGUGUCUGAUC